ensembl:lncRNA
UCUUUGCACUUUCUCCUACACCUACGGAAAAUCAACCACCAAGCUUGCUUCUUCUGCAUCGAAUUUGAACUACAAAUGUUAGAUUGGCAGGAAUUUUCCACUUGAAGUCUCUCUUAUUCCUAUACAGAGAAUCUUCCAAACGAUAAGACUGGAUGUUUUUCUAAUAUACCCCAUGAUAUCAAGUGCAACUCUAACGUAUGAUUAUACUGCUACUCUUUCAUUAUGGGACAUGGAGCAAUCGUGCAUUGCUGAAAGAUGCUAAGAGGGACCAGCUACAGACUCUUAACCUAAAAAAAAUUCCUAAUAUAUAUAUUUUUUAACUUCAAAUGUUUUGCAGAAGUAUGUUGAAUUUGUCAAGCUCUCAUCAUUAUACAAGAAUAUCAGAGGACUGGAGUAGGCUGUUAGAACAUAGUCAUCUGCAAGAUUCAGUGACCUAGGGGCAGUAAUGCCAUGGACUACCUUGGCCACGUGGACUGGAGAAUCUCCAGAUUCCUUGCCAGCAGGCUGCAGUUUUGAACUGCCUGUGCCGCCUGUGUGUGAUGAAGCUCUCCAGGUAUCCUGGAUCUCCCUCACAUCCAGGAGCCUGGUCACAGUGGAAGCUUUGCAGAACUUACUUUGAAUUUUAACUUUUUGGACUUCUAGCUUUCCACCUUUGAGACAUGAGUCUUCCCUGAAUCAAGAGGCUUCCCAUAAGUCAGGUUUCACCAGUUAAUUUUCAUUACUGAGAGACAGCUCUGAAUCAUUUUACUGGCCAGAGUGUGAUGACUUCCUAGGAGCUGGAAUAGCUGGCUCCUCCAUUUUACUUAGAAAAACAUUACAAAACGUAUCAAUUAAAAAAAAAAAAAAGUUUGGAUCAGUUUCAGUUUGAAGUUAAAACAGUGUAUUUUAAGUGUCUACCCAGAAAUCUGUGUGCUAGAUGUCUCAUCUGAGUCAGUGCAGUCAGUGCACAGCUUUGGAAGCCUUUGAGCUGCCCUGGAGUGUCCAACUGAUCCUCCUGCUGUCACUCCAGAAGGUUGUUGUUCGUCUUUAGGACCCGUAGUGUAUUCUAGAGCUCUUCAACAUGUCUGAGAUAAAUUAACAUCAUCUUAAAUUGCAAUGGUUAGUGGUCUAGGGGCUAUCAAAUCAAGUCCAGUAGAGUCAGCCAUGCUUAGAUAUUCCUUUAUUGAUCACGUAGUUCUUUACUUUAGAUGAGCUAAAUCACUCUUUUGGCUCUAUUCAUAAUAACUUCAUUAACUAUAAUAAAAUCUUGGACUUUGUGUCCAUGGGGGCAUCUGCUUGCACAGCCUUGAAGUUGUUUUAGCAUACAGCUGACCCCACUAAGUUUUGUACAUAUACUUACCAUUAGAACACCUUAGGGCAACACAUAUUUCAAAAUCACAUAGAAGGAAACUGAAAGCUUAGCCCACACUUUGCAGCUGCAUUUGAAAAAUUAAAUAAUAAAAUAAUAAU